rnacentral:lncRNA from 1 species
CUGCCCGUGGUCACAUAGCCAUUGUCUAUUGACACAUUGCUCAUCGCCUAUGGUCACAUAGCUAGCAGGUGUCAGGGGUGGAAUUGAACUCUUAACUCCAAGUUCUGUGCUCUUGUUGCUGUUCCAAUCUUCAGACCAUAUGAAUUUUGAGGUCCUUCCAACUGAGAUUCUGGGAAAUUAUAUCCUCUUUCUGUGCUUCCACCAUUCCCUUCCCGGAGACACCUGUUCUUUUGUGAACCACAAGAAAGAAUCAGAGACCAUCACCAAGGAUGUAGAGGAAACAACAGGAAACCAAACCAGGAGCCUAAAGUGGAACUAGAAGGUCCGUCAUGGUUUAUUACCUUUCUUCAGAGAAUUUGCUUAGUCUCUAGACCUUCCCCAGAGAAGCUGUCAAUAAUAUCAUCUCAAUAUUAUCCUUUUGGAAAUUUCAUUUUCAGAUUGUUAUAUGAAUCAUGCUAAUCUACUCCCUUUCCAAAGGAAAUCCAUUUCGAUACCAAUAUGAUUUAUGGCAAUGAACAAUUUUAAUAUACCCUUGAGUUAUUGGGGUGUUAUAAUGAGCACUCCAGAAAAUGGGAUUUUUUAAAUUAUCUCUUAUUAGAAUUUCAUAUUGACUUACUAAACAAUAAUGAAUUUCCCUCAUUACAGAGAGAGAAGAGAAGAGCAGUGGGAUUUUUUUUUUUCAAAUGGCACUGAUGAGACUCAUUCCCACUGGGGCCCUUCAGCUCUGUAACAUCCCCCUGGUAAGUAUCCAGAGCUAAAUCUACAUCAGUCACUGUAACCUGGUUAGACUACAGGCCUUAAGAAA